rnacentral:miRNA from 1 species
AACAACCUCAUCGACCGGAAGGGAUUCCUUCCGGUCGAUGAGGGUGUUUUACCUCAUCGACCGGAAGGGAUUCCUUCCGGUCGAUGAGGGUGUU